rnacentral:misc_RNA from 1 species
GAUGAAGAACGCAGCGAAAUGCGAUAAGUAAUGUGAAUUGCAGAAUUCAGUGAAUCAUCGAAUCUUUGAACGCACCUUGCACCCUUUGGCAUUCCGAAGGGUAUGCUCGUUUGAGUGUCAUUGUACUCACACACUUCCGAUCUUUGGAUUGGGAGCGGUGGACUUGGGUGUUGCUGCUUACUGUGGCUCACCUCAAAUCGAUUCGUGCACCUCUUGGUUGGACAUAGUACGGCGUGAUAAGUGUCUUCGCCGGCACCUCAGUAGAGGGUGGCUGAUCGGGAGCUCUGCUUCAAACCGUCCUCGGACAACAACUGACAACUUGACCUCAAAUCGAGUAGGACUACCCGCUGAACUUAAGCAUAUCAAUAAGCGGAGGA